GAUUCCCCUAGUAACUGCGAGUGAAGCGGGAAAAGCUCAAAUUUAAAAUCUGCUAGUCUUUGGUCGUCCGAGUUGUAAUCUAGAGAAGUGUUACCCGCGUCGGACCGUGUACAAGUCUCCUGGAAUGGAGCGUCAUAGAGGGUGAGAAUCCCGUCUUUGACACGGACUACCAGGGCUUUGUGGUGCGCUCUCAAAGAGUCGAGUUGUUUGGGAAUGCAGCUCAAAAUGGGUGGUAAAUUCCAUCUAAAGCUAAAUAUUGGCGAGAGACCGAUAGCGAACAAGUACCGUGAGGGAAAGAUGAAAAGAACUUUGGAAAGAGAGUUAAACAGUACGUGAAAUUGCUGAAAGGGAAACGCUUGAAGUCAGUCGCGUCUUCCGGGAAUCAGCCUUCCUUCUGGUUGGUGUACUUCCUGGUCGACGGGCCAGCAUCAGUUUUGACCGGUGGAAAAAGUUCGAGGGAAGGUGGCACCUCCGGGUGUGUUAUAGCCCUCGUCCGUAUACAUCGGUUGGGACUGAGGAACUCAGCACGCCGCAAGGCCGGGAUUCGUCCACGUUCGUGCUUAGGAUGCUGGCAUAAUGGCUUUAAUCGACCCGUCUUGAAACACGGACCAAGGAGUCUAACAUGCCUGCGAGUGUUUGGGUGGAAAACCCGAGCGCGUAAUGAAAGUGAAAGUCGAGAUCCCUGUCAUGGGGAGCAUCGACGCCCGGACCAGACGUUUUCUGACGGUUCUGCGGUAGAGCAUGUAUGUUGGGACCCGAAAGAUGGUGANCUAUGCCUGAAUAGGGUGAAGCCAGAGGAAACUCUGGUGGAGGCUCGUAGC
rnacentral:rRNA from 1 species